UAUUUUUAAAAUUUCACAAAAACAAAUAACAAAAAUAAAAAUCAAGGAGUUACAAGUUACAAGUUAACAAAUAUAUUUAACUAAAAAAGAUGUAAUGAAAUAAAGUUUGUGAAAAACAGACAACACAACAACAACAUAAGCAAAAUAAGAGGCGUGGGAAAAAAUUAAAAAAAAAAUAUUUUUAUAAAUUUAAAAACAAAACUGAAUUUAAAUGAAUAUGCAUCCAAACUGAAGUAUUGCAUAAAACUUAGCACACGCGCCCCGCAAAAGUGACUUUCAUGCAUUACGCUGCCGCAUAGCGUUGCCGCAACUGACUUGCCAACAGCAACUUGUCUAGGCAACAAAUCAAUUCAACGAUUCGGCAAUUCAGCAGUGCAACAAUUUAUGCAAUUCAACAGUCGAGUGCAGCAGCUAGCCAUCAACCAACCAACCAACCGAUCCAUUCCUAACAUCAACAUAGUGUGACCAAUAGUGCGACCGACCUACCGCACUCGCGCCCGCACACACACGCACACACAUACAUAUAUGUACUCCUAAUAUUGGAACCAGCAAGCAAAACGAACAAACAUUAUUUUCAACAUUGCAGAGAGCAGCUAGCUAGUAGUAUUUGGCAAUCAUUGAACCUGCAACCGGCGCGCGCAUCAACUGAGGCGUUCUUGCUUUCAUUGUCCCGCCAUGGGUGCCGAUUCCAAGGAUUUACGAUAAGCUAAACCUAGUGUAGUUGUUGUUGCGCUUGACUAUA